AAUAUGGUCUCUCUCUCUCUCUCUCUCUCUCUCUCUCAACACUCGUACUCUCUCCUUUGCUUUUCUCUCUCCUCGCUGCAAUACCAAUACGCUCGCUUCAAUAUUCUCGAAGCUCCACCAGAUUUCUCUAGCAGAUCAUCCAGAGUACCUCUGGAAGCGUACUCCAAGAAGACAUUGUAAAACUCACAUCCGAUUCAACCAAAGCUCCACCAGAUUUCUUGAGCAGAUCAGCCAGAGUACCUCUGGAAGCAUACUCCAAGAAGAUAUUGUAAAAUCGCUAACCGUUUUCAAUGGUGCGGUCGUCUCCGUGACAGCGAACGAUUUGUGGGCAAUCUCUGAGAUGGGCUAAAAUUUCUCUCUCACUUUGAAGCGAAGAAUACUCGAAAACAACAGCUGAUUUCACCGCCAUCAACUGAGGGAGCUUGACCAGACCAAAAUCUCAUGCCGGGAUCGCUAAAUUCAAGCUCUCUACAUUCAAUUUCGUUUGAUGCUGAAACUCUACAAAGACAGGUUGAAGUUGCUGAAGUUAUGCUUCCAGAGGAACAUCAGUUAAGAAACUCCUAACAACCACUGAACCUGAAGGAGGAGAGAUUGGCUUUGGAAUUGCAGCCCUAGAAAUUCCCCCAAACUAUUGACAGAGGAAAGGGGACGGAUCAGAAGUACAUGGACUGGUGGGAGAAAUUAUAAUUCUGAAAAUCAGUUCGAUCUUGUGAAUUAGUUUAGGAGUUGUAACUCCAAAACAGAGGUUAGCUUGCUGGACUUGUAGUGGCCUGGAUCCUUCUUCUGAGAAACUUGAUGGGAAGACUGAAAAUAGGUUGUUGGAAUUCAUUAUCUGUUUGUGGAAUUUAUCCUUUGCCCCCCUUUCUUCUUAUUCUCCUUCUCCUCCUCUUCCUCUGCAGAGACAUCUACUAAAUAUUUUAAGGCAACUUUAUUAGUUCUCUUUGUUAGUGUAUUAGAUAUGUAUGUAUUAUAUGCUUUCUCAUAUGGAAGGAACAACAUAUUAAUAAUCUAAACAUGUCAUUAGUGUGACAGUUCUGCUGGUACUUUGGAAACAAGGUACCAAUUUUUGAUUGAAUAAGGAUGGAUUCCUGCAAUAUUUGAAGGCAAUUCAGACCAUGUAAUUGGGUAGACGAAGAAUACUAAAGAGGAACCUUGGUGAUAUUCCUAGCUUAUGAGGCCCAGCCAAAGAUCAUGCUGCCCAGCUGGAUAUUCUUUUCAAAUGGAUGUUAAGAAGUGCCAUUGAAACUGUUGAUGAAUUGGAAAGGCUAUUAUGUUGCGUGACUGAGACUUUGUUUUGGAGAAGAUAUUACUUCGUGAGUCUCAAUUGCUGUGACUGUUACCGUAAUUCUUAUGGGAUGGAUCUGUGAGCCUUGGUGUUUUUGGUAGGAUUUUGUAACUAUGUACUCCUGCGUAUUGUGAUUCUCCUUUCAUGAAUUAAUUUUUAAUUAUCAAAAACAAAAAUAUAAUUGUUAUGUUUAUACCUCCUUGCAGAUUUGAAUUUUCUAAAUACAUUAUGAUUCAGAUACUUGCGUUUCCAUUCUGGUGAGAGCCACAACCAAGCAGAAUACAUCAUCGACUCUUCAAAUUUGAAGUUGCAUGCAUUAAAAGUCUUUUGAUAGAUCUAGCAAACUGCAUCCUUGUUUUGGUUCUUGGACUUGUGAACAAAUGAUAGCAAUGUUUAAUCCAUCUAAGUAGACUUAAUGAAUUUCAAUAUUUUUUGAGGAUGUAAUAGAAUGAUACUUCAAUUCUAUAGUACAUUUAUAUUGUUUGCUUCUGUAA